GAUGAACGCCGGCGGUGUGCCUAAUACAUGCAAGUCGUACGCACUGGCCCAACUGAUUGAUGGUGCUUGCACCUGAUUGACGAUGGAUCACCAGUGAGUGGCGGACGGGUGAGUAACACGUAGGUAACCUGCCCCGGAGCGGGGGAUAACAUUUGGAAACAGAUGCUAAUACCGCAUAACAACAAAAGCCACAUGGCUUUUGUUGAAAGAUGGCUUUGGCUAUCACUCUGGGAUGGACCUGCGGUGCAUUAGCUAGUUGGUAAGGUAACGGCUUACCAAGGCGAUGAUGCAUAGCCGAGUUGAGAGACUGAUCGGCCACAAUGGAACUGAGACACGGUCCAAAUCCUACGGGAGGCAGCAGUAGGGAAUCUUCCACAAUGGACGAAAGUCUGAUGAGCAACGCCGCGUGAGUGAAGAAGGGUUUCGGCUCGUAAAGCUCUGUUGGUAGUGAAGAAAGAUAGAGGUAGUAACUGGCC
rnacentral:rRNA from 1 species